rnacentral:piRNA from 1 species
AACUCUAUAUCCUGUGGGCAACACUUGCC